UCGAUUCAUUCAAUCUGCCUUUGAAUCUAGAUUUAAAUUUUUUACCGCGUCAUCUGUUCCAUGCGUAGAUGUUUCUUGCUUUGUUUUAAAACCUUUGAAUGUGGGAAUAUCUACAGGUUGAGUUUUUUUGUAGUUUUUGCUUGAAUGGUGUUUAAUUGGCUAUUAUGCUUCUGCCCUCUUCAUUUUGAUUACUAACGAGUUGUAUGCUUUGGGUUUUGUUGCAAUGUUAGAUUUCUUGUGCAUUGGCAUUCUGGUUAUGAUUCUCUUUAUAUUAUCAUCAGUUUAGAAAAUUAUCAAGGUAUUUGUGAUGUGUGAUCUUGUACAUGAUGUGGCUUGAGUUGUGUCAAGGUAUCUGGAACAAAAAUUGAAAGGGUAUUAUAAAAACUAUGCAUGUUUCAGAUAUUUCAGUAUGCCGGCGCUGAAUGAAACGCAGAAGUGAAGUGUUGGAUCAUGGCUAUGCUGGGUAAGGCAAGAGAAGCAGGGUUUCGAUUGAUAUCUUCUGUUAAGUUAAAAGGGAUUCCUAGUUUGCAACAACUGCAUCUGGAUACAUGCCUGCUUCGAACUAGCUCAGGCAGCUGGUGCAUUAGAAAUGAUGUAACCGGUUCCCUGCUAUUGUAAUGGGCUUGUCUUGUUAUUUCUUUCCAUUCUAUAGCCCUUCUUCUGACUACCGUGUUCUGAUUAUACUAAUAUCAUAUCUCAAAUUUUUCCUGGCAA